UGGGGAAUAUUGCACAAUGGGCGCAAGCCUGAUGCAGCCAUGCCGCGUGUGUGAAGAAGGCCUUCGGGUUGUAAAGCACUUUCAGCGGGGAGGAAGGCGUUAAGGUUAAUAACCUUGGCGAUUGACGUUACCCGCAGAAGAAGCACCGGCUAACCCCGUGCCAG
rnacentral:rRNA from 1 species